rnacentral:lncRNA from 12 species
CCGACGGUUAGGCCAGGCGUUCUGCAGGGCAAGAGCUCUCAGUCCCCGCGCAACUAGUCCUCUUGUUGCCUCAGAUAAGCCAAGGCAAGAUAAGGCAAGAAGGGGAAGCAAGACACGUAGCAGCUUCUCACACCACAGGGCAGAAGAACAGGAUCCACUGACAGGU